rnacentral:ncRNA from 1 species
GGUCUGGAAGAUUAAAAGGGAAUCGGGUGAAAAUCCCGGACAGUCCCGCUGCUGUGAAGCUCCGCCAACCACUCGAAUUCUGUUGACCACUGAUUGAUGAAUUGGGAAGGUCUCGGGUGGGGAGUCAGUCAGAAGACCUGCCAUCAGUUUUUG